rnacentral:rRNA from 1 species
AGCAGCCGCGGUAAUUCCAGCUCCAAUAGCGUAUAUUAAAGUUGUUGCAGUUAAAAAGCUCGUAGUUGAAUUUCGGGGUUAGUAGGUUGGUCAUGCCUCUGGUAUGUACUGGUCUCACUGAUUCCUCCUUCCUGAUGAACCUUAAUGCCAUUAAUUUGGUGUUUUGGGGAAUUUGGACUGUUACUUUGAAAAAUUAGAGUGUUUAAAGCAAGCUAACGCUUGAAUACAUUAGUAUGGAAUAAUGAAAUAGGACGUUCGAUCCUACUUUGUUGGUUUCUAGGAUUGACGUAAUGAUUAAUAGGGAUAGUUGGGGGCAUUAGUAUUCAAUUGUCAGAGGUGAAAUUCUUGGAUUUAUUGAAGACUAACUACUGCGAAAGCAUUUGCCAAGGAUGUUUUCAUUAAUCAAGAACGAAAGUUAGGGGAUCGAAGACGAUCAGAUACCGUCGUAGUCUUAACCAUAAACUAUGCCGACUAGGGAUCGGAUGAUGUUAAUUUUUUAAUGUACUCAUUCGGCGCCUUA